rnacentral:rRNA from 1 species
GACGUAGGGGGCCAGCGUUGCUCGGAAUUACUGGGCGUAAAGGGUUCGUAGGCGGUGCGGUAAGUCGGAAGUGAAAUCUCUGGGCUUAACUCAGAGGCUGCUUUCGAAACUGCCGUGCUAGAGUGCGGGAGAGGCGAGUGGAAUUGCAGGUGUAGCGGUGAAAUGCGUAGAUAUCUGCAGGAACACCCGUGGCGAAGGCGGCUACCUGGACCAGCACUGACACUGAGGCACGAAAGCGUGGGGAGCAAACAGG